rnacentral:rRNA from 1 species
GACGAACGCUGGCGGCGUGCUUAACACAUGCAAGUCGAACGGAAAGGCCCUGCUUUUGUGGGGUGCUCGAGUGGCGAACGGGUGAGUAACACGUGAGUAACCUGCCCUUGACUUUGGGAUAACUUCAGGAAACUGGGGCUAAUACCGGAUAGGAGCUCCUGCUGCAUGGUGGGGGUUGGAAAGUUUCGGCGGUUGGGGAUGGACUCGCGGCUUAUCAGCUUGUUGGUGGGGUAGUGGCUUACCAAGGCUUUGACGGGUAGCCGGCCUGAGAGGGUGACCGGCCACAUUGGGACUGAGAUACGGCCCAGACUCCUACGGGAGGCAGCAGUGGGGAAUAUUGCACAAUGGGCGGAAGCCUGAUGCAGCAACGCCGCGUGCGGGAUGACGGCCUUCGGGUGGUAAACCGCUUUCGCCUGUGGCGAAGCGUGAGUGACGGUAAUGGGUAAAGAAGCACCGGCUAACUACGUG